rnacentral:rRNA from 1 species
UACGAAGGGGGCUAGCGUUGCUCGGAAUCACUGGGCGUAAAGCGCACGUAGGCGGCUUCUUAAGUCAGGGGUGAAAUCCUGGAGCUCAACUCCAGAACUGCCUUUGAUACUGAGGAGCUUGAGUCCGGGAGAGGUGAGUGGAACUCCGAGUGUAGAGGUGAAAUUCGUAGAUAUUCGCAAGAACACCAGUGGCGAAGGCGGCUCACUGGGACGGUACUGACGCUGAGGCGCGAAAGCGUGGGGAGCGAACAGG